GCCGGGCUGGCUCAGCUGGUGGAGCGUGUGACUCUUGAUCUCAGGGGUGUGAGUUCAAGCCCCACGUUGGACA
rnacentral:tRNA from 1 species